rnacentral:siRNA from 1 species
GAAGUACAAUUAUAGCCGUUCGCC